rnacentral:sRNA from 20 species
GCGAGACAGGUGGGCCGGUGGCGAGGCACGACCGAUAAGCUGUUCCUGGACCACUCCGGGCGCAGCUCCCGGCGGGUCCGCCAAUGAUCAGCCAGCAGCCGCUGCAACCACAGGGAG